GAAUUUAAACCUCUUCCAGAGUAUCAAUUGGAGGGCAAGUCUGGUGCCAGCAGCCGCGGUAAUUCCAGCUCCAAUAGCGUAUAUUAAAAUUGUUGCAGUUAAAAAGCUCGUAGUUGAAUUUCUGCUGCAUUUCAUUUCUCUUUCUGAGUUUGUUUUUGCGGCUUAUUUCGGUUUGAUUUUUUCUUUCCGGAUGAUUACUUUGAGAAAAUUAGAGUGCUCAAAGCAGGCUUUUGCCUUGAAUAGUUUAGCAUGGAAUAAUAAAGUAGGACUUUGGUUCUAUUUUGUUGGUUUUAGGUACCAAAGUAAUGGUUAAUAGGAACAGUUGGGGGCAUUCGUAUUUAACUGUCAGAGGUGAAAUUCUUAGAUUUGUUAAAGACGAACUACUGCGAAAGCAUUUGCCAAGGAUGUUUUCAUUAA
rnacentral:rRNA from 1 species